AGGUAGGAUUGAAGAUGGUUUUGGUUAACCCUGGGACUAAAAGAAGACAAAAUGUUCACUCUAAGCACCAUACUACUAAGAUAAAUACAAUAAAUAUGACCACAGCUCUUAAUCAGUCAUCUGGAAUACUGUUUAAUUGACCUGCAUUGACUGACUCAACUGGCAUUGACUGAAUAGCUGGCAUCAGUUUUGUGCAGCAUUUGCAACUUUUUU